rnacentral:rRNA from 1 species
GGAUGUUAGCGGCGGACGGGUGAGUAACACGUGGGUAACCUGCCUGUAAGACUGGGAUAACUCCGGGAAACCGGAGCUAAUACCGGAUAGUUCCUUGAACCGCAUGGUUCAAGGAUGAAAGACGGUUUCGGCUGUCACUUACAGAUGGACCCGCGGCGCAUUAGCUAGUUGGUGAGGUAACGGCUCACCAAGGCGACGAUGCGUAGCCGACCUGAGAGGGUGAUCGGCCACACUGGGACUGAGACACGGCCCAGACUCCUACGGGAGGCAGCAGUAGGGAAUCUUCCGCAAUGGACGAAAGUCUGACGGAGCAACGCCGCGUGAGUGAUGAAGGUUUUCGGAUCGUAAAGCUCUGUUGUUAGGGAAGAACAAGUGCAAGAGUAACUGCUUGCACCUUGACGGUACCUAACCAGAAAGCCACGGCUAACUACGUGCCAGCAGCCGCGGUAAUACGUAGGUGGCAAGCGUUGUCCGGAAUUAUUGGGCGUAAAGGGCUCGCAGGCGGUUUCUUAAGUCUGAUGUGAAAGCCCCCGGCUCAACCGGGGAGGGUCAUUGGAAACUGGGAAACUUGAGUGCAGAAGAGGAGAGUGGAAUUCCACGUGUAGCGGUGAAAUGCGUAGAGAUGUGGAGGAACACCAGUGGCGAAGGCGACUCUCUGGUCUGUAACUGACGCUGAGGAGCG